AUAAAUGAAAGACUAGAGAAAGGAAAUACAAAUAUGGAAAUAGUACAAAUCAUAAACCAAGAGAUAAAAGGAAACUAGGGUUUGGCCGACUCUCUCUCUAGGCGCCGACUCUCUCUCUCUCUCUCUCAUGGCCGCCGACUCUCUCUAUCUCUAAGUAUGGGCCGGUUAUGGACAUCCACAAUAUGAUUUAUAACAAAGAUAGAUAUGUUUGCGUAAAAACGUUUAGUGGUUAAGCUAACGCGCUACAUUAAAGUUCAUCAAAUAUUUGGGGACCACUGGGACAAAAAAAUAUUCGUGGGUAGGAUUAGCAUUUUGAAGUUUAAACUUAUGAUUACUUCUAACAAAAUAAAGCUGUCAAGAUAUGAGACGAAUAACCCAUACUUUAAAUUAUAUAACCCAAAAGUAUAGAGGAAUAACGUAAUUGAUGAUCAAGACUCAAGAGUCAAACAGUUGCAAGAUGAAAUUGAUCAAUUGACAUUGGACCAACGUUGGGGCUUUAUGAGCAAUUGCAUAACUAAGACUUAUGGGCCUAUGUGUUGUUCUUGGAUCCGAAAAUUGCAUUUUUAUUCAUAUUUCGUUCGUUAAUCUGGUAAUAACAGGAUAACACACCGAAACAUCAAAAUCAUCAGAUCUUUUUUGUGUGGACGUCAAAAUUGUUUUUUUUUUUAACGUCAAAAUUGUUGAGAGGAUAAUGGAGAACACAAAACCCAUAAAAUGAAAAAUAUUAAGAAUCUUGAAGCUCCUAUCUAGGGAUGGCAAUUGAUGUACUGGACCGCGGACCUUCACAACCCGCAAAAUAACAGGCCUUGCGGGAUGAGUUUGUUCGGAACCGGGCUUGAAACGGGAAAGCCCGCAGCGAUGUGGCUAUUCACUGAGAGACGAAGGGGGUGAUGGUUUUAUACUGUUGACAACUAUACUUGCCUCUCGCCGUAAGGAGAUUGAUACUUGUCUCUUGAAACUUGGUCUUCAAACCACCAUCUAUAGCUUAUGGUGGGAGAGGAAAAGUAUACAGCACCAUGGUCACCCCCAGAGCGCAGGCCACAUGGUUCGUAUUAGUGAUAAGACCAUCAAGAACAUGAUCUCUUCUCUGCGAUGCCAACGGCCAUCUUUCUAUAGGAUAUGAUGCAACGUUGGCUUGGACACACACAUAGUCGAAAAUGCUCUGUUUCGUCGAUUGAUUGUGUUCAUUAUUGAAAACAUAAAUUUCAAAGGCCUGUAACUUUUAUUGUUGAUAGUCAAUUUAAAAUUUUAGCAAAAAAAGACAAUUGCACUGUUAUAUUUAUUUACAUUUUUAUGAUUAGCGUAUAUUUUUUAUAAGAUUCAUGGUUUUUAAUUGGUUAA